GACGAGGCACUACGGUGCUGAAGCAACAAAUGCCCUGCUUCCAGGAAAAGCCUCUAAGCAUCAGGUAACAUCAAAUCGUACCCCAAACCGACACAGGUGGUCAGGUAGAGAAUACCAAGGCGCUUGAGAGAACUCGGGUGAAGGAACUAGGCAAAAUGGUGCCGUAACUUCGGGAGAAGGCACGCUGAUAUGUAGGUGAAGUCCCUUGCGGAUGGAGCUGAAAUCAGUCGAAGAUACCAGCUGGCUGCAACUGUUUAUUAAAAACACAGCACUGUGCAAACACGAAAGUGGACGUAUACGGUGUGACGCCUGCCCGGUGCCGGAAGGUUAAUUGAUGGGGUCAGCGCAAGCGAAGCUCUUGAUCGAAGCCCCGGUAAACGGCGGCCGUAACUAUAACGGUCCUAAGGUAGCGAAAUUCCUUGUCGGGUAAGUUCCGACCUGCACGAAUGGCGUAAUGAUGGCCAGGCUGUCUCCACCCGAGACUCAGUGAAAUUGAACUCGCUGUGAAGAUGCAGUGUACCCGCGGCAAGACGGAAAGACCCCGUGAACCUUUACUAUAGCUUGACACUGAACAUUGAGCCUUGAUGUGUAGGAUAGGUGGGAGGCUUGGAAGUGUGGACGCCAGUCUGCAUGGAGCCGACCUUGAAAUACCACCCUUUAAUGUUUGAUGUUCUAACGUUGACCCGUAAUCCGGGUUGCGGACAGUGUCUGGUGGGUAGUUUGACUGGGGCGGUCUCCUCCUAAAGAGUAACGGAGGAGCACGAAGGUUGGCUAAUCCUGGUCGGACAUCAGGAGGUUAGUGCAAUGGCAUAAGCCAGCUUGACUGCGAGCGUGACGGCGCGAGCAGGUGCGAAAGCAGGUCAUAGUGAUCCGGUGGUUCUGAAUGGAAGGGCCAUCGCUCAACGGAUAAAAGGUACUCCGGGGAUAACAGGCUGAUACCGCCCAAGAGUUCAUAUCGACGGCGGUGUUUGGCACCUCGAUGUCGGCUCAUCACAUCCUGGGGCUGAAGUAGGUCCCAAGGGUAUGGCUGUUCGCCAUUUAAAGUGGUACGCGAGCUGGGUUUAGAACGUCGUGAGACAGUUCGGUCCCUAUCUGCCGUGGGCGCUGGAGAACUGAGGGGGGCUGCUCCUAGUACGAGAGGACCGGAGUGGACGCAUCACUGGUGUUCGGGUUGUCAUGCCAAUGGCACUGCCCGGUAGCUAAAUGCGGAAGAGAUAAGUGCUGAAAGCAUCUAAGCACGAAACUUGCCCCGAGAUGAGUUCUCCCUGACCCUUUAAGGGUCCUGAAGGAACGUUGAAGACGACGACGUUGAUAGGCCGGGUGUGUAAGCGCAGCGAUGCGUUGAGCUAACCGGUACUAAUGAACCGUGAGG
rnacentral:rRNA from 1 species